rnacentral:tRNA from 1 species
UCUCCCGUCGUCUAGUUGGUUUAUGACACGGUGCUUAUAGAGGUCCUGCCUGGUGGCCCCUGUGCACGGCCCGCUGAAAGACGCGGAGAGAAACGCCGUUGUCCGGGGUUCGAGUCCCCGCGGGAGAA